UACGUAGGGUCCGAGCGUUGUCCGGAAUUACUGGGCGUAAAGAGCUCGUAGGUGGUUUGUCGCGUUGUUCGUGAAAACUCACAGCUUAACUGUGGGCGUGCGGGCGAUACGGGCAGACUUGAGUACUGCAGGGGAGACUGGAAUUCCUGGUGUAGCGGUGGAAUGCGCAGAUAUCAGGAGGAACACCGGUGGCGAAGGCGGUCUGCUGGGCAGUAGCUGACACUGAGGCGCGACAGCGUGGGGAGCAAACAGG
rnacentral:rRNA from 1 species